GAGGGUAUAGCUCAAGCGGUAGAGCACAUGCUUAGCAUGCACGAAGUCCUGGGUUCAAUUCCCAGUACCUCCU
rnacentral:tRNA from 1 species